rnacentral:lncRNA from 1 species
AUGGCAGGUGAAAAAGUUGAGAAGCCGGAUACUAAAGAGAAGAAACCUGAAGCAAAGAAGGCUGAUGCUGGUGGCAAGGUGAAAAGGCAUCACCUCAAGACUGAAAAACUCAAGAAGGGGAAGCCCCAUUGCAGCCUCAAUCCCGUCCUUGUCAGAGGAGUUGGCAGGUAUUCCCAACCUGCCAUGUAUUCCAGAAAGGCCACGUGGAAGAGGAAGUACUUAGCUGCGAAGUCCAAGGUUGAAAAGAAAAAGGAGAAGGUUCUUGCAACUGUUACAAACCAGUUGGUGGUGACAAGAACGGUGGUCCUGGGUGGUUAACAAAAUGCCUAGAUAUUACCCUACCGGAGAUGCGCCUCGAAAGCUGUUGAGCCACGGCAAAAAAACUUUCAGUCAGCACGUGAGAAAACUGUGAGCCAGCAUUACCCCCGAAGCCAUUCUAAUCAUCUUCACUGGAUGCCACAGAGGCAAGAGGGUGGUUUUCUUGAAGCAGCUGGCUAGCGGCUUGGUAUUUAGGACUGGACCUCUGGUCCUCAAUCGAGUUCCUCUAUGAAGAACACACCAGACAUUUGUCAUUGCCACCUCAACCAAAACUGACAUCAGCAAUGUAAAAAUCCCAAAACAUCUCACUGAUGCUUGCUUCAAGAAGCAGCAGCUGCGGAAGCCCAGACACCAGGAAGGUGAGAUCUUCGACACAGAAAAAGAGAAAUACGAGAUCACAGGGCAGCGCAAGAUUGAUCAGAAAGCUGUGGACUCACAGAUUUUACCAAAAAUCAAAGUUAUUCCUUAGCUCCAGGGCUACCUGAGAUCUGUGUUUGUUCUGAGGAAUGGAAUUUAUCCUCACAAAUUGGUGUUCUAA